rnacentral:rRNA from 1 species
UACGGGAGGCAGCAGUGGGGAAUAUUGCACAAUGGGGGAAACCCUGAUGCAGCGACGCCGCGUGGAGGAAGAAGGUCUUCGGAUUGUAAACUCCUGUUGUUGAGGAAGAUAAUGACGGUACUCAACAAGGAAGUGACGGCUAACUACGUGCCAGCAGCCGCGGUAAAACGUAGGUCACAAGCGUUGUCCGGAAUUACUGGGUGUAAAGGGAGCGCAGGCGGGAAGACAAGUUGGAAGUGAAAUCCAUGGGCUCAACCCAUGAACUGCUUUCAAAACUGUUUUUCUUGAGUAGUGCAGAGGUAGGCGGAAUUCCCGGUGUAGCGGUGGAAUGCGUAGAUAUCGGGAGGAACACCAGUGGCGAAGGCGGCCUACUGGGCACCAACUGACGCUGAGGCUCGAAAGUGUGGGUAGCAAACAGGAUUAGAUACCCUGGUAGUCCACACUGUAAACGAUGAUUACUAGGUGUUGGAGGAUUGACCCCUUCAGUGCCGCAGUUAACACAAAUAAGUAAUCCACCUGGGGAGUACGACCGCAAGGUUGCAACUCAAAGGAAUUGACGGA